rnacentral:lncRNA from 1 species
UUUUUUCUAACCCUAAGUUGUCUCCCACUUUACCACCACCAGCAAAAUUAUGACGACGAAUCCCCUCGCAUAUGAGCUAGUGGCUGACGAAUAACCACCACUUCAAUCUAACCCCCAAAAUCGGGUGACCGAGUCUUAAAUCAACAGGGAGCCAGGUUAGGGUGUUAUGUAAAUUUGGGUUUAAGAUGAUGAUUCAUUCUGUAGGGUCUUUUCAUGUUUAUUCAAGAGUUGACUUAUAAGAACUUGCAUCAAGGAUAUCCAACUGAGACUAAGUGCGAGACUGGUUACAAACCUCUGGUUUUUUAA